rnacentral:rRNA from 1 species
AGAGUUUGAUCAUGGCUCAGAUUGAACGCUGGCGGCAGGCCUAACACAUGCAAGUCGAGCGGUAACACAGAGAGCUUGCUCUCGGGUGACGAGCGGCGGACGGGUGAGUAAUGUCUGGGAAACUGCCUGAUGGAGGGGGAUAACUACUGGAAACGGUAGCUAAUACCGCAUAACGUCGCAAGACCAAAGUGGGGGACCUUCGGGCCUCAUGCCAUCAGAUGUGCCCAGAUGGGAUUAGCUAGUAGGUGGGGUAAUGGCUCACCUAGGCGACGAUCCCUAGCUGGUCUGAGAGGAUGACCAGCCACACUGGAACUGAGACACGGUCCAGACUCCUACGGGAGGCAGCAGUGGGGAAUAUUGCACAAUGGGCGCAAGCCUGAUGCAGCCAUGCCGCGUGUAUGAAGAAGGCCUUCGGGUUGUAAAGUACUUUCAGCGAGGAGGAAGGCGUUAAGGUUAAUAACCUUGGCGAUUGACGUUACUCGCAGAAGAAGCACCGGCUAACUCCGUGCCAGCAGCCGCGGUAAUACGGAGGGUGCAAGCGUUAAUCGGAAUUACUGGGCGUAAAGCGCACGCAGGCGGUCUGUCAAGUCGGAUGUGAAAUCCCCAGGCUCAACCUGGGAACUGCAUUCGAAACUGGCAGGCUAGAGUCUUGUAGAGGGGGGUAGAAUUCCAGGUGUAGCGGUGAAAUGCGUAGAGAUCUGGAGGAAUACCGGUGGCGAAGGCGGCCCCCUGGACAAAGACUGACGCUCAGGUGCGAAAGCGUGGGGAGCAAACAGGAUUAGAUACCCUGGUAGUCCACGCCGUAAACGAUGUCGACUUGGAGGUUGUGCCCUUGAGGCGUGGCUUCCGGAGCUAACGCGUUAAGUCGACCGCCUGGGGAGUACGGCCGCAAGGUUAAAACUCAAAUGAAUUGACGGGGGCCCGCACAAGCGGUGGAGCAUGUGGUUUAAUUCGAUGCAACGCGAAGAACCUUACCUACUCUUGACAUCCAGAGAACUUAGCAGAGAUGCUUUGGUGCCUUCGGGAACUCUGAGACAGGUGCUGCAUGGCUGUCGUCAGCUCGUGUUGUGAAAUGUUGGGUUAAGUCCCGCAACGAGCGCAACCCUUAUCCUUUGUUGCCAGCGGUCCGGCCGGGAACUCAAAGGAGACUGCCAGUGAUAAACUGGAGGAAGGUGGGGAUGACGUCAAGUCAUCAUGGCCCUUACGAGUAGGGCUACACACGUGCUACAAUGGCAUAUACAAAGAGAAGCGACCUCGCGAGAGCAAGCGGACCUCAUAAAGUAUGUCGUAGUCCGGAUUGGAGUCUGCAACUCGACUCCAUGAAGUCGGAAUCGCUAGUAAUCGUAGAUCAGAAUGCUACGGUGAAUACGUUCCCGGGCCUUGUACACACCGCCCGUCACACCAUGGGAGUGGGUUGCAAAAGAAGUAGGUAGCUUAACCUUCGGGAGGGCGCUUACCACUUUGUGAUUCAUGACUGGGGUGAAGUCGUAACAAGGUAACCGUAGGGGAACCUGCGGUUGGAUCACCU